AUUGAACGCUGGCGGCAUGCUUUACACAUGCAAGUCGAACGGCAGCGCGGGGCAACCUGGCGGCGAGUGGCGAACGGGUGAGUAAUGCAUCGGAACGUACCCAGAAGUGGGGGAUAACGUAGCGAAAGUUACGCUAAUACCGCAUACGUUCUACGGAAGAAAGUGGGGGACCUUCGGGCCUCAUGCUUUUGGAGCGGCCGAUGUCUGAUUAGCUAGUUGGUGAGGUAAAGGCUCACCAAGGCGACGAUCAGUAGCUGGUCUGAGAGGACGACCAGCCACACUGGGACUGAGACACGGCCCAGACUCCUACGGGAGGCAGCAGUGGGGAAUUUUGGACAAUGGGCGCAAGCCUGAUCCAGCAAUGCCGCGUGAGUGAAGAAGGCCUUCGGGUUGUAAAGCUCUUUUGUCAGGGAAGAAACGGCUGAGGAUAAUACCUUCGGCUAAUGACGGUACCUGAAGAAUAAGCACCGGCUAACUACGUG
rnacentral:rRNA from 1 species